GAUGAAGAACGUAGCGAGAUGCGAUAAGUAAUGUGAAUUGCAGAAUUCCGUGAAUCAUCGAAUCUUUGAACGCACAUUGCGCCCCCUGGUAUUCCGGGGGGCAUGCCUGUCCGAGCGUCAUUGCAACCUUCAAGCGCGGCUUGUGUGUUGGGUCUCGUCCCCCGUGGACGGGCCCGAAAGGCAGUGGCGGCGUCCCGACAUGGUGCCCGAGCGUAUGGGAAUCCUCUUCCGCUCGAAUCGGCCCAUGCGGCGCUGGUCGUAACCAAAUUUUUUACCGGUUGACCUCGGAUCAGGUAGGGAUACCCGCUGAACUUAAGCAUAUCAAUAAGCGGAGGA
rnacentral:misc_RNA from 1 species